rnacentral:rRNA from 1 species
AUUGAACGCUGGCGGCAUGCCUUACACAUGCAAGUCGAACGGCAGCACGGGAGCAAUCCUGGUGGCGAGUGCGAACGGGUGAGUAAUACAUCGGAACGUGCCCGGUAGUGGGGGAUAACCCGGCGAAAGCCGGACUAAUACCGCAUACGACCUGAGGGUGAAAGCGGGGGAUCGCAAGACCUUGCGCUACAGGAGCGGCCGAUGACAGAUUAGCUAGUUGGUGGGGUAAAGGCCACCAAGGCGACGAUCUGUAGCUGGUCUGAGAGGACGACCAGCCACACUGGGACUGAGACACGGCCCAGACUCCUACGGGAGGCAGCAGUGGGGAAUUUUGGACAAUGGGCGCAAGCCUGAAUCCAGCCAUGCCGCGUGCGGGAAG